ensembl:lncRNA
ACAGCAGGCUUCCUAGAGGAGGUGUGCAUGCAGCCCAGUAGUCACUGCGGCCACCAAGGAGGGGCCUGGGGAAAGGGGGCUAGCUCACUCUGAACCUCAAAGCUUCUUUUACUUUUUUUUAAGUUUAGUUAUUUUGAGAUGGAGAGAGCACAAAGGGGGAGGGGCAGAGAGAGAGGGAGAGAGAGAAUCCCAAUCAGGCUUGACUAGGGGGCCCAUCUCAUCUCCGUGAGACCAUGACCUGAGCCGAAAUCAAGAGUCAGAGCUUUAGCCGCCGGAGCCACCGGGCGCCCCUGGAGGCUUCGGCCUGGGACCCCCACUCCAGAGCCGCAUGAGGGGGGCAGAGCGGGCAGGACAGCCAGCUCACUUCCAGAGUCCUGACUGUCCCCCGAGUCCGCACGUUCCCUUCACGGUUCCAGAGGAAGCAGCCCCAGGGCCUGGGGACCACACGGACACCCGCAGGCUCGGACCAGACCUCACCGCGGCUCUGGCGGCUGGAGGACCCACGGAGGCCGCAGGAGGCCUCAGACCCCGCAUGCCAAGGCCCCGUCACAAGGCACCUGUUGCCGCCCUUGGCCCGGGUCACUGUGUCCCUCCACCAGGAGGGCAGCUGAGCCAGGCCACCCUCUCCACGCUUCCGGGACCCACAGCUGCCAGGAACCCAUCUGAGCUGUGCCAAGGCGCCUGGUCCUGCUCCACACUCUGGAGGAGUCACAGCCAAGGCAGGGGACCCGGAUGGGGCGCCGCACGGACUGCAGAGCAGCGAGGCAGCAGGACCCCCGACCCGGGAAUCCGCGCACUGCGGCGUGGGCGCGACUGGCAGAUCCCUUCUCCAGGAAGGAGGGGCCAGAGCACUGCCCCCAGGGCCUCUCUGCGGACUCGGGAAGUGGGGGGCUCACCGGGACCUCUCAGCCUCCCUCCGCGGGGAGAGUCAGAAACCAUGCCGUCCAGGCGCUGGACGGCCCAACUCGACCCACCUGAGAUGCAAAGUGCGUCACCACCAGGGACGAGUCACAGGACGCAUGCGCGGUCACAAAUCACACAGAGCAGCCGGAUGAACCCCACCACCUCCCCCCGCCGGCCACGGACGCGCGAGGACGAGAGACCGUUUAGGAGGCGCCGCCCGCCGGCGGUUUACCCACCCCCACCCCCUCCAGCCUCGGUCUAGGUUCCCCCCGUCCUGCCCCCAGGAGAAGAGGGUCUGGGAAAUUUCAGAUGUUGGCUGAGCACCUUAUCUCCUUCCGCGGAGGGUUAAAAAUAAAAGCCCCCUGACACUUCUCAACCUGAGGCCCAGGAGGAGCUGUGCUGAGCUGUCCGCGGCUCCUGGGCAGACGAGCCCGUCUGUGCCAGAGCCAGAGGCCGCCCAGCGUUGGGGGCACCAGGCCGGGCCGACUAAAGGCCCUUGAAAGAGCCCAUGUGCCUCCAAGAAGCAUCUUCCCCUAUUCACCCAACAACGCUUUAAUCCACACAGUGGGGUGGCCGCGCCCAUUGUGCAGAUGCAGAGACUGAGGCUCCCGGAGACGAAAUGGCUCAGGGCUCCAGCACGGCUCAAGGUCGCAGAUGCCAAGGCACCCUAGAACGCUGUCCUCCACAGCAAAGCCAAGGCCUGAACAGACUGGGUCUCCUCCUCUCACAGUGGCUGACUGCCCUUCCAGAAACCCGCAGACAACAAGCAGAUGGGAACUGCAGCAAAAGUGAGAGGAAGGGGUGUGAAGCAAGUGCCUCCAGAGCCUUCCUCUCGUCUUCUUCACCUCAUUCCAACCUCCAGGAGAGAAGGGUCUCGUUUCCAAGCCAAAGCAGAAUGUCCAGGGGGCGCCCAGGGGGCUCAGUCAGUUAAGCGUCCGACUUCGGCUCAGGUCAUGAUCUCACAUUCAUGUGUCUGAACCCCAUGUCGGGCUCUGUGCUGACAGCUCAGAGCCUGGAGCUGCUUCGGAUUCUGUGUCAACCUCUCUCUCUCUGCCCCUUCCCUGCACGGCUCUGUCUCUCUCUGUCUCAAAAACGAACAUUUGAAAAAAAAUUUUUAACGUCCACUUUCUGAGCCUCCCAGAUCACAACAUGGAGUAGGCCUCCGCCUCCCUCUCUCGGCCCCCCUGCGCGCUGCAGGACCGCUGUCCAGGCCCCGCGCCCUUGCCACCUGCCCAGACCUCAGCCCCUGGCCCUCGGCUGCUCCUACUGAAUGUGCUGCUCCAACUGCUGCGGGGCAGGCCCCCGCAUGCGCAGGGGACCCCUGCCACCAAGGGCAGACCUGUUGGAGCUGGCCCUGGAGGGCGCACCUGCCACAGGUAACAGGAAGAAAACACGAUCAAACUCCUUUUAAUACGAACCCUGUUCGUUAGCAUGGACUUAACACAGGGAUGUUUCAUCUGCACUCACGACAGUUUAAUUUUUUAAUUUUUUUAUUAUUUACUUAUUUGGGGGACAGCAUGAGCAUGUGAGCAGAGGAGAGGCAGAGAG